AAAUUGAAGAGUUUGAUCAUGGCUCAGAUUGAACGCUGGCGGCAGGCCUAACACAUGCAAGUCGAACGGUAACAGGAAACAGCUUGCUGUUUCGCUGACGAGUGGCGGACGGGUGAGUAAUGUCUGGGAAACUGCCUGAUGGAGGGGGAUAACUACUGGAAACGGUAGCUAAUACCGCAUAACGUCGCAAGACCAAAGAGGGGGACCUUCGGGCCUCUUGCCAUCGGAUGUGCCCAGAUGGGAUUAGCUAGUAGGUGGGGUAACGGCUCACCUAGGCGACGAUCCCUAGCUGGUCUGAGAGGAUGACCAGCCACACUGGAACUGAGACACGGUCCAGACUCCUACGGGAGGCAGCAGUGGGGAAUAUUGCACAAUGGGCGCAAGCCUGAUGCAGCCAUGCCGCGUGUAUGAAGAAGGCCUUCGGGUUGUAAAGUACUUUCAGCGGGGAGGAAGGGAGUAAAGUUAAUACCUUUGCUCAUUGACGUUACCCGCAGAAGAAGCACCGGCUAACUCCGUGCCAGCAGCCGCGGUAAUACGGAGGGUGCAAGCGUUAAUCGGAAUUACUGGGCGUAAAGCGCACGCAGGCGGUUUGUUAAGUCAGAUGUGAAAUCCCCGGGCUCAACCUGGGAACUGCAUCUGAUACUGGCAAGCUUGAGUCUCGUAGAGGGGGGUAGAAUUCCAGGUGUAGCGGUGAAAUGCGUAGAGAUCUGGAGGAAUACCGGUGGCGAAGGCGGCCCCCUGGACGAAGACUGACGCUCAGGUGCGAAAGCGUGGGGAGCAAACAGGAUUAGAUACCCUGGUAGUCCACGCCGUAAACGAUGUCGACUUGGAGGUUGUGCCCUUGAGGUGUGGCUUCCGGAGCUAACGCGUUAAGUCGACCGCCUGGGGAGUACGACCGCAAGGUUAAAACUCAAAUGAAUUGACGGGGGCCCGCACAAGCGGUGGAGCAUGUGGUUUAAUUCGAUGCAACGCGAAGAACCUUACCUGGUCUUGACAUCCACGGAAGUUUUCAGAGAUGAGAAUGUGCCUUCGGGAACCGUGAGACAGGUGCUGCAUGGCUGUCGUCAGCUCGUGUUGUGAAAUGUUGGGUUAAGUCCCGCAACGAGCGCAACCCUUAUCCUUUGUUGCCAGCGGUCCGGCCGGGAACUCAAAGGAGACUGCCAGUGAUAAACUGGAGGAAGGUGGGGAUGACGUCAAGUCAUCAUGGCCCUUACGACCAGGGCUACACACGUGCUACAAUGGCGCAUACAAAGAGAAGCGACCUCGCGAGAGCAAGCGGACCUCAUAAAGUGCGUCGUAGUCCGGAUUGGAGUCUGCAACUCGACUCCAUGAAGUCGGAAUCGCUAGUAAUCGUGGAUCAGAAUGCCACGGUGAAUACGUUCCCGGGCCUUGUACACACCGCCCGUCACACCAUGGGAGUGGGUUGCAAAAGAAGUAGGUAGCUUAACCUUCGGGAGGGCGCUUACCACUUUGUGAUUCAUGACUGGGGUGAAGUCGUAACAAGGUAACCGUAGGGGAACCUGCGGUUGGAUCACCUCCUUACCUUAAAGAAGC
rnacentral:rRNA from 1 species